CGCCGGGUGGGCCGAUGCGGCGGCGGCAGCGCCGGGAGCGGGAGCGCCGGGAACACCGGGAACACCGGGAACACCGGGAUAACAGGGAUCGCCAUGGAGUACGUCAGCCCCGAGCAGCUCGCCGGCUUCAGCAAGUACAAGUACAGCGCCGUGGACAGCAACCCCCUGUCCCUGUACGUGAUGCAUCCCUUCUGGAACACCAUCGUCAAGAUCUUCCCCACCUGGCUGGCCCCAAACUUGAUCACCUUCUCUGGCUUCCUGCUCCUUGUCUUCAACUUCUUCCUCAUGGCGUACUUCGACCCGGACUUCUACGCCUCCGCUCCUGACCACCAGCACGUUCCCAACGGAGUGUGGAUCGUUGUGGGGCUCCUCAACUUCAUGGCCUACACGUUAGAUGGAGUUGACGGGAAGCAGGCGCGCCGGACCAACUCCAGCACCCCCCUGGGGGAGCUCUUUGACCACGGGCUGGACAGCUGGGCCUGCGUGUACUUCGUGGUGACCGUCUACUCCACCUUCGGCCGCGGCUCCACCGGCGUCAGCGUCUUCGUCCUCUACCUCCUGCUCUGGGUGGUCUUGUUCUCCUUCAUCCUCUCCCACUGGGAGAAGUACAACACGGGCAUUCUGUUCCUGCCCUGGGGAUAUGACAUCAGCCAGGUGACCAUUUCAAUUGUCUACAUAGUGACAGCCUUUGUGGGAGUUGAGGCCUGGUAUGCACCUUUCCUGUUUAAUUUCUUAUAUAGAGACCUAUUCACUGCAAUGAUUAUUGCCUGUGCUCUCACUGUGACGCUGCCCAUGAGCCUGUACAACUUCUACAAGGCCCAUAAAAACAACACCUUGAAGCACCACUCUGUGUAUGAGAUCCUGCUGCCCCUCGUGUCCCCGGUGCUGCUGUUCCUGCUCUGCACCACGUGGAUCUUCCUGUCCCCCUCUGACAUCCUGGAGGUCCAGCCCAGGCUCUUCUACUUCAUGGUUGGAACAGCCUUUGCCAACAUCUCUUGCCAGCUGAUCGUGUGCCAGAUGAGCAGCACGAGGUGCCGGCCCCUGCACUGGAUGCUGCUGCCCAUCGCGGCCGCGCUGCUGCUCGUCGCCUCGGGGCUGGCGGCCCACAGUGAGACGCUGCUGCUCUACCUGCUGACGGCCUUCCUCACCCUGGCACACAUCCACUACGGCGUGCUCGUGGUGAGCCAGCUGAGCAGGCACUUCAACAUCCGGCCCUUCUCCCUCAAGAAGCCCACCCCGGACUGACUAGGGCUGGAGGAGGAGAGAGUGGGCCUGCGCUCCGCAGAGGGACUGUAAAUACCUGCUGCAAACCCCUGUAAAUACUUCGGCCAUCCCACAGACCCAGCCUCCUCCCCCUGGACGGGCACCAGGGCCGGGACACGCCGGGGACACUCCCACCCUCCUCUGGCACCACAAAGGGGCUUCGCCUGGAGCAGGAGGAGCCUCCAGGUCACCGCUACUGUAUCUGAGACCAGCUGAAUGUUCCCGGGGAAACGUCCAACUGUAUCUGAGACCAGCUGAAUGUUCCCAGGGAAACGUCCAACGCCGGCUCUUGCUCAGGUAAAGCUGGACGGGGAUGCAAAGGCUUUACCUGAGCAAAGCCCCUCUGGGCCUGUCACCAAAACCAACACGGGGCUCGUUUCUCCCAGGUCGGGGGAACAUCCUGGUGGUCGGGGGAGUUCCUGGCUGUCCCCAGCCCUGCUGGACAGCCCUUGGCCUGGGCUGGUACCUCUGGGGCACAUGGUGACAGCUCUCCCACGUUCUGUCCUGCCUUCCUGCAUUUGGGCAAAUAUUGCACCUUUUUUAAGAGGGGGGGAGAAAAAAAACCCCAGACACACACAAAACUUAUAGUUAAAUCCUGACUGGGGGGGGCUUAAAAAGCCAGGGCUCAAUUUCCUGUAAGAGUGGGACUGUGGCUUCUGCCUGCCCUGCUCGAGCUGUGGGUGCCUGGGACCACAUCUCAGCCACGUCCCUGCCUGUCCUUGUGUGUUCCCAGUCCAGGAAUGGGGUCUGGGCUCCCAGUGGCCACGGGAAGUGUCUGAGCCCACAGGGCUGAGCUCCCACGUCUUCCUCCCAGCAGGGCCGUGCUGUUGUGGUCGGCUCUGCGGGUCCUGGGCUGCCUGAGCCACCACUCCCAGGCACAGCCCGGCCCUUCCCACCAGCGCUUCCACCGCCUGGAGAAGCACCCGGAGCCUCGUGUUGGUUGUGUGUGCACCUUCAGAGCCCUCACUGGGGGGGGAGGGUGUGGUGGGAACCCUCCCAGAUCCCACUGUCUCCUCGUCCCCGGCGGCCGCGUGUCUCAUCCAGGGAUCUCUUUGUUUACUGUCCGCUUGUCCAAGACGUGUGUGUUGAUCUGACUUUUUGUUUUUAUGAUUGAGUUCGAGUGGGGUGGUGAAGACUGAAUGCUGAUUUUUCUUUUCCUGUUGGCUUGAUUUAAUGCAGGCCUGUGCUUGAAUGAAGAGUGUAGCUUAAAGCCAGGCUCUGGAAAGGCUGCAUCCGGAAGCGAACAAGCACAGCAGAUAGUGCAGGUGUAACUGCCAUGGGAACAAAGUCCUCCAGACUCUGAUUACUGUGCAACGUGGGGCACAACAGCCUGGUCAGGGCAUUUUCCUUCUGCAGGAGGAGGCUCCUGCUGCUCUAGGAAACCUCCGACGUGUGAGUUCCAGCAGCAAGUAGCUGCUGUCUGAUGGGUUUGCUUUUGUAACUUGGAAUCACUGUCACGCAGGAGACGAGACUUGAAACCCUGAGGUUGAGCUCGUGAGGUCGUGGGGCUCAACUUGGGGCCACUUGGUCACCCCUUGGUCGGCCCAUGGUCACACGGUACGGCCUGUGAGGAGCAACUGGGGCCUCCCCCAGGGCUGAGGAGUGAGCAGGUACCUCCUGAGGGCUGAGGAACAAACAGGUACCUCCCCCAGGGCUGAGAAUGAACAGGUACCUCCCCCUGGGCUGAGAAUGACCAGGUACCUCCCCCGGGGCUGAGGAACAAACAGGUACCUCCCCCAGGGUUGAGAAUGAACAGGUACCUCCCCCAGGGCUGAGAAUGAACAGGUACCUCCUCCCUGGGCUGAGGAAUGAGCAGAUACCUCCUGAGGGCUGAGGGAUGAACAGGUACCUCCCUCUGGGCUGAGAAUGAACAGGUACCUCCCCCUGGGCUGAGGAACAAACAGGUACCUCCCCCAGGGUUGAGAAUGAACAGGUACCUCCCCCAGGGCUGAGAAUGAACAGGUACCUCCUCCUGGGCUGAGGAGUGAACAGGUACCUCCCCCAGGGCUGAGAAUGAACAGGUACCUCCCCUAGGGCUGAGAAUGAACAGGUACCUCCUCCAGGGCUGAUGAAUGAACAGGUACCUCCUCCAGGGCUGAGGAGUGAACAGGUACCUCCUCCUGGGCUGAGAAUGAACAGGUACCUCCCCCAGGGCUGAGGAACAAACAGGUACCUCCCCCAGGGCUGAGGAACAAACAGGUACCUCCCCCAGGGCUGAGAAUGAACAGGUACCUCCCCCUGGGCUGAGGAGUGAACAGGUACCUCCCCCAGGGCUGAGAAGAACAGGUUCCUCCCCAGGGCUGAGGAGUGAGCAGGUACCUCCCCAGGGCUGAGAAUGAACAGGUACCUCCUCCAGGGCUGAUGAAUGAACAGGUACCUCCACCUGGGCUGAGGAGUGAACAGGUACCUCCCCCAGGGCUGAGAAUGAACAGGUACCUCCCCCUGGGCUAAGAAUGAACAGGUACCUCCUCCUGGGCUAAGAAUGAACAGGUACCUCCCCCUGGGCUGAGGAGUGAGCAGGUACCUCCCUCAGGGCUGGGGAACAAACAGGUACCUCCUGAGGGCUGAGGAACAAACAGGUACCUCCCCCAGGGCUGAGGAGUGAACAGGUACCUCCUCCCUGGGCUGAGAAUGAACAGGUACCUCCCCCUGGGCUGAGGAAUGAACAGGUACCUCCCCCUGGGCUGAGGAAUGAGCAGGUACCUCCCCCAGGGCUGAGGAGUGAACAGGUACCUCCCCCUGGGCUGAGAAUGAACACAUACCUCCCCCAGGGCUGAGGAACAGACAGGUACCUCCCCCUGGGCUGAGGAACGAACAGGUACCUCCUGAGGGCUGAGGAACAAACAGGUACCUCCCCCUGGGCUGAGGAGUGAACAAGUACCUCCCCCAGGGCUGCCACCCAUCAUGGGAAGCUCUGGAUGUUGGUGGGAGGCUCUGGAUGUCCGUGGGAAGCUCUGGAUGUCUGUGGGAGGCUCUGGAUGUCCGUGUGCUCACGUGUCCGUGUGGCUGCAACGUGGCCGGGAAAGGGGGCGAGUGGUUUUCAGAGUUUUAUUUAAUAAAGUCCCUUCCUCCCAUCCCUUUUACUGAUGUUGUACAGAGAAAAAAAAAAAAAAACAACUCAGUGGGCAAAUGAACUGGGCUGUGCUUGAGUUUUUGGCUGUUUAAUGCUGUUCACUGAAACAUAAUUAUGGAGAUAAAUUUCAGUGCCGCUCGCCCGGGAACUGGAGGGAACCUUAAACUGGGACACACUUCCCUGGGACACGGUUGGAUGGCAGAGCGUGGGGGUUGGAUGGUUUCCUGUCUAGUUGUGUGUUUGCAGGGCCAGGGGAGGACUGAGCUGUUCCCUCAGGCCUCCAGCUGAGCUCUGGGCUCCCAAACCCACCUGGUCCUGGCUCUUCCCAAGGGCAUGGCUGGGCCCACAGGACUGGGAUGCUGCUGGUGCUGGGAGGAGUUGUCUGAGCUCAAACCUCGGUGUGUAGGAGAAACAUCUCUUUCCCAAACUGGAACUGCUUCCUCUGCACUGGCUUUGUCUCUGGGGAGUCCUUUUGGUGCCUUAAUUGAUUGCACCUUGACACUAAAAAAAAAAAAAGUCUCCUUAAAUCAGCGCUGGGUUGGGCUGGUUGUCCUUGGUGCCACUAGAGCAGGGAGGGAGCAGAGCCCACCUCAGUGAUCUGUGCUGCUGAGGAGGGGGAGUUCUCCUUGGGCUGGGAGAAAUCCAGUGAUUUCUGCUCCUGGAUCCUGAGAGGGGAAUGGAAACGAACAGAGAGCAAAGCCCGUGGGCAGGGUGGGGUGUGGCAGCUGAGGAACAACCCGUUUAUCCAUCGCUCUGGUGUUGGGUCUGAAGGAUAAUUGUGUUCCUGGGUCACAGCCCCUGAGGGGGAUGUCCCACAGGGGAGGUCACUGGCUGGGCUCUGUGCUCCCCAGGGGAUGUGCUCCUGGGGAUGGAGGGCACCUGUCCUGGCUCCUCAGCUCCUCAGCUGACCUGUGCUGUCUCUUCUUCCAGGGAUAAUGUUAGUUCAGGUUGCUCCAAGCCUUGGACACUUCCAGGGAUCCAGGGGCAGCCACAGCUUCUCAGGCCAACCUGGGCCAGAGCCUCCCCACCCUCACAGCCAACAAUUCCUUCCCAAUCUCCCACUUCUCCCUGCCCUCUGGCAGUGGGAAGCCAUUGCCCCUUGUCCUGUCCCUCCAUCCCUUGUCCACAGUCCCUCUCCAGCUCUCCUGGAGCCCCUGGAUGGGACUUGGCAGCCGCCUCUUCUCAUAAACCUCAGGCACCUGAGCCAGGGGCUCUGCCAGAGCCGGGAGCAGCGCUGGGAGUGGGAGCUCAUGAGGCUCUGGGAGCACCUUCCAGAUCCUUCAGCGGGGCUGAUGUCACCUCCUGGCUCAUAGAGGACCUGCCACAGGGACUUGGAGCUGUCCUGAUCUCGGGUCAGCUCUGGGAGGCCCCUAAACUCUUCUCCUCCAAGCCUGCUUGGGAUAGACGUGGACAAUCCCUAGGGAAGCAGCGCUUUUGGGAAACCAGCCUUGGCUGCUCCUGCCUUUGGCACCUGUGCUGUGUCAGAGCAGGGCCUGAGGUGACACCGAGGCUGCUCUUGGUGGGACAGGGAGAGGACAGGAGGGAACGGCCUCCAGCUGUGCCAGGAGAGGGUCAGGUUGGAUAUUGGGAACAAUUCCUUCCUGGAAAGGGCUCUGCAGCCCUGGCACAGCUGCCCAGGGCAGGGGGGAGUCCCCAUCCCUGCAGGGAUUUAAAAGCCCCGUGGAGGUGACACUUGGGGACAGGGGUCAGGGAUGGCCUGGGCAGUGCUGGGGGAGCAGUUGGGCUCGAUGGACUCUGAGGGUUUUUCCAACCCAAAUUAUUGAUGGUGACAACGGGAGCUCUUUGCUUGUGGGAAAGGGUCACUGCUGGUGUGUAGAGGACCCUUUGGCCCACCCGGGUGUGGUCAGACCUGGCUUGGGAGGUCUCUGGGCUGGUCUCCAGGGGAGUGGCCGGGGUGUCCCUGCCCCAGGUUCUCAGGAAUUCGCUGCUCACCCUCCCAGUGUCGUUCAUCCGGUCAGAGCUGGGGCCGUGCUCCAGGUUGGACACUUCAAAAUCCACUUCAAAAUCCACCCCCUUCCCUCCCCAUCUCCCAGCAGGGACACUGCCCUGCCCCAUCCCUCGGAGUGUGUCCCCUGGAGUGGACACUGGCCCUGGCAAAGCCCCGGUGGCUCUCCCCGAGUCCCGGCUCCGGGGGUUCAGGUACUGUGGUGGGUGUGGAGUCCGGUCUGUUCGAUGCUAUUACUGAAAUAUUUAUUGUGUUUGAACCAAACGAAAAACUAUUAAAGUUCAGUAAAGAAUAAAAUUUUCCACGCCUUU